rnacentral:tRNA from 1 species
GCGAGAGUGGCGGAACUGGCAGACGCGCUGGAUUUAGGUUCCAGUGCCGCAAGGCGUGCGGGUUCGACUCCCGCCUCUCGCA